rnacentral:lncRNA from 1 species
AACAGUUAGAGCAGAAGUACAGUGUGUGUUUGACAGGCCAUAAAUCAGGCUUUUUCAGUUCAAGCCAAAUCAGUUUUGAACCAGAAGUUAUUCUAUAUACCUCAAUACCUGAAAAUAUCUUGUCACCAGCCAGAAGAACCUAGAAGAGUAGAGGAAAGUUUCUUCCUCCCCUACAAAGGCAUUCUCACAGGUGAGCUGGGGGGCAAACUUGGAGUCUGGCGUCCACUGGACCCACCAAGAGGCAGACGCUGGAGAGGGCAGAGACCAUCCUCCGCUCCCACGCCGUGAAAUGGUGAUGAAAGCUCAAGACCCUUUCUUCAGAAAACGCAUGUGGACACGUGUAUAAGAAAACCUCUGUCCUCCCCCUGGAUUUCUCCUUUACUCUCACACGACUACCAUAUUCACAGCACUUCUGACACCGGAUGGGGGGGCUUCCCCACACCAAGCGACUCUGUGACACUAGAUCCAAGUAGUACAUGCAGAUAAACAACUCUGUCGUCAAGGACCCUGGGCCACCAACGCAGCCUUCCUUCUCUUGCUUUAAAGAGGCAAGCACCGUCACGAAUUUAGUUCAUAUUCUUCCAAUCUGAUUUGGAGUGAUGCCACAGGCACUUACACAUAAAACGUUCCCCUUUAUUAUUACCUGAUUGUUAACCGUCUCCUGUUUAAGGGACACUAGACUGCUACUCCUUCCUCCCCUAAAAAAUCCUGCACUUGUUUACUGUGCUUGAAAUACCAUUCCAUGAACCAAGGAUUGAAAUAAAGCCUACACUGAGAUCCAGGGAUGGAUGGGGUUCCGUCUGGAGAAGAGGCUGUAAUGCUGAGGCCGGGCUGUGUGGAAGAACAUCCAGGUGGGACAGCGGAGAAGCAAGGAGUGCAUCUACAGAUGUCUAAAGAGCUGGAAUUCCAUCUCUGCCCCCAGGGCUGCCUUAACCAUAGACUACCCCAUCUCAGGUGACCGCAUCCAUACAGGAGCUCAAGGCAAAAUCCUUGACCUGGUCUUCGGUUCUGUUUCUUGCAUUCCAAGUAGAUCAGUAGAUUGAGUAGAUUCCAAGAGAUCUUUCUUUGUUUUGUUCACUGAUGACUUCCAAAUGCCUGGCUCAUGAUCGGCUCUUAGUAAAUAUUUGUUUGGGAGCUGGAGAUGCCCAAGCCUUCAGGGCAGACAGCCUGGGUUGGGUCAUCUGGCUCCAGCAGGUUCUGCCUGAGUGCCCAGGGCACGGUGUUUAACUUCUGAGGUUUGUGGGCUGUUUUGGGCCUGGACAGGGUAGGCACUCCAUCAUAAUUCACUGGGUGUGUCAACUCUGUACCAGGCACUUCUGCCCAUCUCUUGCCAAGGCUGUGCUAAGCAUAGUCUCCUCCCCCUG